GGGGCCGUAGCUCAACUGGGAGAGCGUCGGUCUGGCAGACCGAAGGUUGCGGGUUCGAUCCCCGCCGGCUCCA
rnacentral:tRNA from 1 species